UAAUUCUUUACUCUUGUUUUUCCUAAGUUCCUCUUCUGUGCUUAUGAAACAUUCUUCUUAAUAUCUUCUUCUUUACUUCAAAUAUUCUCUAAGUUAUGAGCAAACAAACAAAUUCCUUUGAUGCUCAUAAUAAUGAGCAACAAAAUCUAGAUCUGAAUGGGGACCCUUAUUCCUCCUCCACCAGAUUUUGACUUAACAAAUAGGAAUAUAAAUUUCAAUUCUUGUGUUAUUGGGGUCUUUGUUGGGCCCCACCCUCCUUCAAGCACGUUUGUGCAACUCAUUGUAAACUCAAGAUGGAUGAGGAGGGGAGAAAUUAGAGUUCAUCGAUCUGGAAUAUAUUUUUUAUUUGAAUGUAGGAACAGACAAACCAGGAGGGUCUAAUCCGAAUCAAUACAACAAUAAUCGACGGAAGGAUGAUUAACUUCAGGGGGUACCAAACUGAUUACGUGCCUCAGCAGCCGAACUUCACAUUAACAAGGAUGUGGGUAAGGGUGUAUGGACUACCCCUAACCUACCUUACAAAUGGGUGGGAAAGACAAAUAUCUCGGCAUAUUGGGUACAUUAAAGAGAUAGAUCAGGAAGGGGAGAACUUACCUCUCCAAGCUGAACUUAGAGCAAGAGUGAUCAUUGAUCAAUCCAUCCCCUUAAUUCUAGGUUGUUUUAUACCAUUGGAAGGGGAUAGGGUGAUUUGGGUUUACUUUUGGUAUGAAGGUCUUUUCAGAUUUUGUAAAAUCUGUGGGUGUGCAGGGCACGCAACAUCAAGAUGUGCUAUUCAUCCCACUAUUGCGAGAAGACGCGUAAGGCGUAGGCUUGAUGAAGUUGAAGCGGAUGGAAUACGGGAGGAUCCGAAGGGACGAGUUAGCGUUCGAGGAUGGGCAACCGUUUGAUAUGGAGCAGCCAUUACAAGAAACUGAUGAAACUGAUUUCUUUUAAUCAGGGGAAGAAGAUCUUUCGGAUGGGCAAUCACUCAAUGAAUCUGAAUUGGUGGAGGUUGAGAGAGCACAAACUCAACCAGAUGUGGCUCUUUCACCAAGAAGAAGGCUGGGGUUGGGUAACGAUCCAUAUGCCGAGUUCACUCAAGGAAGAGGAAGUCAACAUACGAAUGAAACUAACACUAAUGUACAAAGAAGUUUGUUUUUUGAGUCAAGCCCGCAAGCAACGGGAUCAGGCUUCAAGCCAUGGAGGCUUAAUUCUGACAGGGCCUUUACCUCACCAACACAUCACUCAAUACCACCUCCGUCAAGGCCAAACUUUGCUAGAUCGACGUAUGAGGUUGGAGAGUCCUCCUUGGCAUAGCAAGAGCAACAACACCAGGCUGGGCUAGGUUCCUUUUUCCAUACUCUGGGUAUUUCGGAGUGGGCAUCCAGGCUUGCCGUUUUCUAUGGGCAGAGUUAUGAGAGGGUGUGAUUUGAAACUCACAUUCCUGUGAUGUCAAGAAUGCCGAAUGAUGAUAUGGCUAAUGCAAUAAGUAUGUCAACAGAGAGAAGAGAUGAUGCAAAUUUAUCAGAUGAGGAGUUUGCGUGCAUAAUGGAGGCUAGCACAAUUUUCACUUUGGGAAUAAGAUCCGCAAGAAAUUAGGGGAAUGAUAGGUCGUUCCGAAAUGCAAGACCUGCUACACCCCCUUUCUUGCGCUUGGAUUCGGAAGAGUUGGCUGGAAUGGUGAAUUUGCCAUUAACAGAGUUCAAUCCUUCAAACACACCGGUAACACCGGUCUCGCAUCUUAGUUCGUUUAAUUUACAGAGUUUUUUAAUUAUGAUGACAGUGCCAAUACAAGGAAGAGGAUCAAGGAAGCAACUCGCCACUUACAGCACUCAUGUGAUGGCGAUUCCGUUAGAGAAAGUGAGUCAGAUUAUACUCUGGUGGAACGAAAAAGCCAAAAAGGGCUAAAAGAUAUCACAGGUGGUCAGAGAAAGGGGGGUUUUAAUAUCUGGUUAAAGGAUGAAAAGGGGUCGAAGAGAUUUGCUUCCAAAGCAAUUUGAGACCCGGAUAUGGCAAAGGAAAUUGGUGUGGACAACGAUGAUGAUAUUGUAAGAAGGGGUAAGAACAAGCGCUGUCAAGAUGAUUCUUUCUCCAAUUCUGAUUCCUACAAGCGUUAAAAAAGUGAAGAAGUGACAUCGGUGUAUCGGCAGAUCAGAGAUGAUAUGGGCGUGGACUUGCAAGUGACUAUUCUUGAGUCGAUGAAGAGGAUCUCAAUGGGUGAGGGCACUGAACCAGAUCAGGCCCCAAAUCAAAUAUGACAAUGGUUUCUUGGAAUUGUAGGGGCUUGAACGAUCCACACUCCCUUGCAAUUCCGUAUCUAGUGUGGCUCUAUAAGUCAAAACUACCUAUGUAUAUGUUUAUUUCUGAAACAAAAAUGGCUUAUGUUAGUGCAUCUACUAAGUUAAAUAGUUUAGGAGCUUCUCUUCUGGGUGGGAUGCGGAAGGAAGUAGCGGGGGUCUUUUAGUACUAGCUUGGACUAAUGAUGUAGUGGAAUGCUUGUACUCGCCUAAAAACUUUGUAUUUUGUAAAAUCUUGGAAGCUAAUGGAAAUGUUAAGUAUGUAAUGUUCUUUUA